rnacentral:rRNA from 1 species
GAUGAACGCUGGCGGCGUGCCUAAUACAUGCAAGUCGAGCGAAUGGAUUAAGAGCUUGCUCUUAUGAAGUUAGCGGCGGACGGGUGAGUAACACGUGGGUAACCUGCCCAUAAGACUGGGAUAACUCCGGGAAACCGGGGCUAAUACCGGAUAACAUUUUGAACCGCAUGGUUCGAAAUUGAAAGGCGGCUUCGGCUGUCACUUAUGGAUGGACCCGCGUCGCAUUGGCUAGUUGGUGAGGUAACGGCUCACCAAGGCAACGAUGCGUAGCCGACCUGAGGGGUAGUUCGGCCACACUGGGACUGAGACACGGCCCAGACUCCUACGGGAGGCAGCAGUAGGGAAUCUUCCGCAAUGGACGAAAGUCUGACGGAGCAACGCCGCGUGAGUGAUGAAGGCUUUCGGGUCGUAAAACUCUGUUGUUAGGGAAGAACAAGUGCUAGUUGAAUAAGCUGACACCUUGACGGUACCUAACCAGAAAGCCACGGCUAACUACGUGCCAGCCGCCGCCGUAA